AAGCAAAACGGUUCCCUCCCCAAUACCGCCUCGUGUUUUUUCCCACGAUUUUUUCUCCUUUUUUUUUUUUUUUUACUUUUAAAUCCCCGGACCUCUCGCCUUGUCAACUUCCCAUCACCGAAGUAUUUCUCGUCUACUCUCGGACUGCAUCAUCUACUGCUUCGGUUUGGCCUUUUUCUUGGAUUUUCUCCCGUUUUUGGUUCUAUUUGGGUCUGGCUUUUGAACUUGGGGGAAAAGAUCCGACCUUUUUUCGGAAAACGUUCUUCUUUGGGGUUUAGAGAUGGCCGGGGAGUGGAGGGGGUCGUGGAACGGGGAGCAGAGCUACCGUUACAAGGAGGGAGGCAGCAGAGGGACUAAAUCUUGGAGGCCGCCCCAUGCCCCUGGAUCUGAGGUUCCAUCAGUUCCUUUGUGGGAGAAGAAAUUCUGCAUGCAUGUGGGUGCAAUUCCAUGGAAGAGGUUCUGUGAAAACAAGAAAUUUAUGGGUCUGUAUAAGAAUGUGAUACAGUGGGAUGAUUCAGCUGCUUUAGAGGCUUUUCAGAGUGCAAAGGCCCGGUUCUAUGCAGAGUAUAAUGGUUUCCAUUGUAACAUCCCUCUGCCUGACCCAGAUCUGUAUAUUGAUGAAGUUGACCAAGAUGCUAUUGUCGAUCCUGAUCUGGUGGCAGAUUUAGAUGAACCACCUCCAGCCCCUGCUGAUGUGUAUAAUACUCCAACUAAUGGCUGGGAUUCCUUUAUCUUUACAGACAAACCAGUUCCAGCUUCUGGGUGGGGUGAUGCAGAGGACCCUGUCCCUUCAAAUAAGAAAACUGGUGAGCAUAGCUCUGCAAACUGGGAUGCUUAUAUUGAACAAAUAAGACCCAGUGGAUGGGGGAAUGCAUCUGAGACCUACUGCUCAAGUUGGGAUAUAAAGAAUGAUUCUGGCACUGCAUGGGUUUGCAGUGGUGGAGUUUGGGGCAAGGGAGUUGUGCAGGAUAAACCAUUGGUAUAUGGGACUGACAAUUACUGGGAUAAUUGGAGGAGAAAUCCAUGCGGAACUUGGGAGAACAGGAAUAGUGAGCCAAAUAGAAGAAAUGGAAGAAAGAGAAAUGGAGGUGGUCGGUUCGGUUCAAGAUAUACGAAACCUAAGUACCAGGUGGAUGGUUAUCAGUCAAAUAAUAGCUGGACUGAUUGCAGAGGAAGAAAUAGGACAAACUAUCCAUGUCAGAACACAGUAUAUGCUAAGCAGCCCCUGGCUAUGUAGCUGUGGAACUCCAUGUGCUUGUGUUGGCCGAUAAAUCAUGAUAGAUUAGCUGAAUCAGGUAUGGACAGUUUGUUGCAUUGCAUGUGUAUAUACUUAAAGACUAUUAAGAAGCUGAUGCAGUAUGUAGAGUCAAGUUUCAAUAUAUUGGUGAGAAGUUUCAAGGAAAAACCAUAAAAUGUCAUUCAAUAACUAAGCAAAAUCAUGCAAAGAUGAUAUUGUCAGGAUUCAAGAACCUUUGUAUAACAUAUAUUGACUGUGUGCAGAGCAGGAGCUUAGGAGGUUUUGUUGGCCUCUGUGAUGAUAUAAGCAAUAUCUGAACCUACUCUGGAAACCAUACAAAAAAAUGUGCUGUGUGAUCAUAUCAGAUCGCCACACUGUUUCACAAAAGGGUAUUGUAUCAUUUGGUCUAUUAUGGUCACACAGCAGUUAAUACAUCAUGUGACCCAUUCUUUUGAAUUUAUCACUUUCAACCACAACCUUAAGCAAUUUUUGAUGUUUCUUCCAUGCUAACAACACUGCAAGAUGCUCACUGUUAAGUGAUUAUCAUUCUCUUUACAUUAUUAACUCUCCAUUUGAUUUUUUUGUUCACUCUUAUCUCAGAAUUAAGAAGUUGUCAUGUUGCAAAUUAGGUUUUGAUUUCCAAGAUUUGUGGCAGAGCUGUGAAUGUAGGUAACCUAGACACUUUGAUCAUUCUUCAGCAUAUAUAUCACAUUCUGAAUGGGCAGUGCUUUGAAAUUUGAAUUCGUAAAUGAGUUACACAUGUAGAGCAGUUCUCAGUCACAAGUGACAGUUGAAUAAUUUUGUAACUAGAUGACACUUCAAAGAAUCUUUUCAUUGCAUGGUUCAUGUCAUGAUUUGUGUGUGAGAUUAAUUUUAAUUGAGAAUGUUAGGUGUCGCUCAGCAUUACUUUCAUUUUUUCUAUUUUUUGAAACAAAAAGUAGGCAUUCCAUGUUCAUUUUUUUCUGAUUUUAAAAAUGUAAACAUGUUUGGUGCAAUCAUUUCUUUAAAAAAAAAAAAUAAACAUAGUGAUGGUGGCAGAGGUGAUGGCUAUAGAGACGAAGGCAGUGGAGAUGCAAGUGGUAUUGCUGGUGGGGGUGGCAGUAGUGCGGCAAAAGUGGCAACAAUGGUGGUGGUGGCAUUGGUAGUGGUGGGAGUACCGGCGAUGUGGUAAAGGCGACGAUGGUGGCGGUGGUGAUGCAGUGGCGGCAGCGAUGGUGGUGCUGGCUACAUGGAGGCAGCGAUGAUGGUAGUGGUGGUGUCGCUGCAAUGGUAAUGGUGGUGGCGGGAGUGCUAGCUAUAUGAUAAAGGCGGUUAUGAUAUAGCAAUGAUAUGGCUGCAGCAAUAAUGGUGGUGGUGGGGGUGUUGGCGAUAUGGUGGAGGCGGCAAUGAUAGCAAUUGUAUGGUGAAGGUAGCAACGAUAGUGGGGAUGGUAGCGUGGUGGUGGCAAUGGCAGAAAUAUUAGUGGUGGUGGCAAAAAGCAUGAAUUUCUUAUUUUUGAAUAUCUUUCUUUUAUUUUUGAGAAAUAAUGAAAGUAACUUUUGACAAUCAGAAAAUAAAAACAACAGCACCGAACAUGUUUUUUGUCUUGUUUUUUGCAAUUUUAUUUUUUUAAUAGAAAAUAAGAAAUAAAACAAUGCCAAAUAGUCCUUGGGUUUAAAUUAGGUCUAGAGCGAGUUUACGUUUUACUCAUGUACUCAUCUUAGAAUUUUCGCAAGUAGCAAAAUGUUUUGUAUGAUGCACUCGGUGCAAAAACCAACCAGAAUUCCUAUCACUUUAUGAUAACAACUCAAAUUAAUCUAUAUAAUUAGAAGAAAUAAAAUCCAUCUCCACUUCUUAAGUUUUUCCUUCAGGGUUGAAUUUUUAGUGAAUUUUGCAAUUUAAUGGUUGAGCAUUAUAUUUUACCACCAUACGAGUUGCACACCAUUAAAGGGUUGACAAGUAGACCACUUAUGCAAAUUACGAUAUGCAAUGCAUACAUGGACUUGAAAGAUGAAGAACAUGCAUUGGUGGAAAACAGGCCUGAUACAUAAAGUGUUGUAAUCAAUAUAUAACCACCAAAUAGACUUCCUCGGUUGAUUGAUGCUUGUCUGCUUAGCACCUGCAAUGUGAAGAGGUCUCUAGUUCGAUUUGGAAAGGUAAAUAAAUAAAUAAAUAUCUCCUGUGUUUUUAUCUGUGUUUCUUUUAACUGAUAUUGCCUUCUUAGAACAUUACUUGAGUGGAAGAAAUAUAUAUCUUUGGCGAACAUGGAUAUAGGCAUUUCAGAGGACUCCUAAUUCAAGUCAUCCAUCCUUAGUGUUCUUCUCUGAUAGCAAUGAUGGAUUCUGCAAUACUCUUCACACCAUUGACAAUUUCUGACUUACACUUUAAAAUCAGAAAAUGGAUUCUGGAAUAAUCUCAAUCCCUUUGCUUUUUAAGAUAUCCUUUGCUUCACAUCCACGCAUGCUUUUCCUCAUCAAAAUGACCUAUCAUCCUGAACUUUCUUUGAUAUACCCUAUAGUUACUGGUUUUUCUGCUAACUACUAUUUUAAAGUGUCAGUUCAUGUUCAUUUUUUGUGACAUGCAGUUUUUCCAUUGAGUAGGUAUUUUUUUGUUAUCCUUUACUAAGCAUAGUUUGUCAUGCAUUUGGAUGCUUCUUGUGAUUGUUGCUUUGAAGAAGUUUUUGUCAUGUAUUUGCUACUCUAAAGAAGUUUCAAUUGUUUUUGUUACAUUAAAAAAAAUAUUCUACUUAUGCCUUUGUUAUUACUAGCAUCCAGGUAUGUCCAAUGCACAUUUAGCAAAAGUAAUGAUAGUUAGCAUUGGAAAAUAACUUAGUUAUAUGAUUUUAUUUUUUGAAGUAAAUGUAUUAGUAGUAAAAGUAUAAAUUCAAAGAUACAAACUUAAAUAUAGAAAUAGAACUAAAGAAUAUAAGUUAGAAUAAACUCAAAAACUUUUAAAAAAGAAUAAAAAUAUUUAAUAAGAAAUCUACUUAGUAGAAGAGUAAAAAAUGAAUCACUUGUUAAAUUUAAACAAAUGAUUAAAAACAUUAUUGAUUGUUUAAUGUUAAUAUUAAUGACAGUUUACUAUAAUAAAGUUUGCAUGAAAUAAUGGGUGAUCAUCUCGUUGAAGAACAGGUAACAUGCAAUAUAACACCAUAUGUUCCUAGUUUUCGUUGGUAUUCAUUAUUACCCCUGGGGGCUAGUGAUAUUGUCUGAUGAGGAAGAAGAAGAGAUGCUUGUUUGUACUUACAAGCCAAUGAAAAUUAAUCUCUAGUAAGUUGAAUAAAAAGACUCACUUACUGGAUCACAAUAAAUGAAGUACGAUCGAGAUGUCAGGGAUCUCUUCAAUAUUUAUAGAGAAGAGAUGAUUCAAAUAAUCUCAAAUAUUCUUUAUUUGAUAUUUUCUAUUUGUAAAUAAUUGGCAAUGUGUUUCCUUAUCUGAAUUCUUUAUGUCAAAAAUAAAUUAUUUGAAAUUUCUUAUUUUGAAAAUAAAUUUGGCAUGUUUUCAAAAAAUUUUGUUUGGUAAUAUUCUUCGCCAAUAUUCUACUCAAUCAUGACUUCUUUAUUUGGGAAUUUUCUAUUGGUUGAUAAUUAUGCGACUAUAUAUAUUUGAAAAUAUUCCACUCACCAGUUCUACUUAAUAUAAUUAACUUAGAUUUAAAAGAAUUUUAGAUUUUCUUUAUUUGGAAAUUUUCUAGUUUUUAAUAAUCAGCAAUAUGUUUCCUUGAAAUUCUUUAUUCUAAAAAUCUACUUGCCAAUGAUUUCAAAUUUUGAUUGUGGUUCAGAUUAAUAUAAAUUCCUUAUUCUAAAAAUAAAUUUGGAAUAAUUUCAAAAUUUCUUUAUUUGGAAAUAUUCUUUGCCAAUAUUCUACUCAAUUAUUCUUUAUUUGAAUAAUUUCUACUCACUAGUAACUAUUUUUGUGAUUUUUUUGGUAUAUACUUUUUGCAUUUUAAGGGAGAUGGUAAAUUCAAAAUUGGUAAAUGGCAGAUGGAAUAUGUUCGUAUUUUUGAUAUGGUAGAAAUAUAAGCACCAUGGUGCGGUUCAUGAACUUGGAAGAUAAAGGUGGAGCAUUGACAACCAAUUAUAAAAAGAAACUCAAACUAUGAAGAAAGUUGUAAAGUUCUUUUUGGAUUUAAAAAUUAAAAAACAUUGUGAUUAGUAAGUCCCAUUAAAUAUUCACUAUUUAUUUUUUGGGCUCCGUCCUAAUAUGUGGUUUAGGUCGUCAUUUUAGUGAAAGGAUAUUUUUUACCUGAUAAGAACUGGAGGUUGAUAGAAAUUAUUUCACUUGGAUGCCUGUGCGGGGUAUCUGAGUUUAGGUUUCUUGCUUCCUUUGGUUCUGGUCUGAAUUCGUAACUCGUUCUUCAAAUGAUUGUUAUUGUUGAUGGUAGGAUUAAAGAAUGUGAACGGUGUUUUCUUUGUUCUUAUUCUCAUUGAGUGAAGGCCAAUUGCAUCGGUAGUGUACCUAAUUGUCAAGCAUUGCAAGUGAAUCAACCCCCUUAGUACAUUGUACAUCGACUUGCAAAUUUGGAAGAGGAUGAGCUCAAUAAUAAGUGUAUGACAUUUGGGAAAAUAAAACCGAUAGGUUGAUCUCAAAAGUGAAUAAUGUUUUUCCUUUAUGUCCACUUGGUGAUUGCAAAUGUGUUGCCCAUGCAUUAGAAUGACUCUUGUAAUUUUUUAUCUAUGUAAGCUGAACAGAAGGGAUACCCUAGAGGUUCUUUAUCUAGUUACUGUGACAUUUCUUUCCAGGUUACUGAUCUUAGACCUCUUUGUGCAAAAAGAUGAGUAAUCUCCACCAUGACAUAUGCUGGUAGCUUAUUCAAAAAUUUAGCAUGUAUUUCAAAAUGUCACUAUAUAUUUAUGAUGUUUGUGAAGGCAGCAAAAGUGUGUGGAUGUUCUUAGAAACAGGCAAUGUUAAGUGCAUUUGCUCACUGGUUAUGCUUGGUAUGAGUCUUUUAGUUCAUCGAGUCCAGUAGACUUGACGAAGUAGGGUAGAGUCAUAAAUUUCUGGAGGAUUGCUUACAGAUGUUCCUUCCAUUUUUUCUUCUUUUUCUUCUGUGCUUUGUAAUUCAGGUUAGGAACUUGGAAGAACAAGAGAUAUCAUUCAUUAUCUUCAGUUGGAAGUCAACUGUAACUGAUGCUUACUUUUGAUUCCAGGAGUUCAAAACCAUGAGCUUUCUGGUAAAGAGAUUUGUGAUAGACCUGGUGGAAUCCAAUCUGCUGGUUUGAGAAUUAUAUCAACAAUUGGAGAGAACAGUAUUAACCAUCAGUAUGAUUGUCGUGCUAAUAAUUGCUGGCAACUUAAGAGGUUCUACGGGGGUCUAGGUUGGCAUGGCUCUGACUUUAGGUUGUGAUUUGUGCUGACUUACUGGUCGGGUAAAAUCUGCUUCUUAUAAACCCAGGUUACUCUCUCAAAUUAUGUAAAGUUUCGCUAGGAUUCAGUGCCCCAGGAAGUACUACUCCUGUUUGAUUUGUCAAGAAGGUAAAGAAACGUAGGGCUUUUUGUAUUAUUCUAACUUCUUGGAGACAAUCUCACACAUUGGUGAGUUUGUAGCUACUGGAGGGCUUAAUUAAAUUCUAAUUGUGCAAGUUAAAUCAAGGCAACACCUUGAUGCUUGGAUAUCAGGUGAAUGUACUAGAGUCUCUUUUCGGCAAUACUUCUGAAGGUUGUUAAUUAUAGAAGGCAGGUGGAAUCAUUUCGGUAUCAUGCUUAGAUGCAAGUGUUUGUGAUUAGAUAAAUCAGAUCAAAACUGCAGCUUGUGGAUCAACACCAUUGUCACUAUCAGGAUUUGGAUUAAAGAUUUCACUGCCUUCAGUCACUACCUUCACCAGAGAAUUUGUUAGAUUCUUAGAACAGGUAAUCUGGCAACAUUUCAAUAAUCGCAAUUAUUGCAGCUGGAUAUGUUAGAGACAAUACUGCUCUUGUUCAAAUGGGUUCUUUUCUUCCUAAUCUCAAGAUCAGCUCUAUUUAAAUUUACGACUUCCUUCACGACUUUCCCUUCUUUUUAGGGUAAAAUACACAUUUGUAUCCUGUCAACUUUGGAAGAGAAAUUUCAUCUUUUUAACCCCAUCUUUAAGUGUUUAUCUUCGUUUAGGCUGAAUUUAUCUUUGGAAACAAGUUGCAGGCAAGUUCAGCUGUUUGUCUUUCUUCGUUGACUUUGUGAACAGGAGACCAAGCAGGGUUGCCAUCUUCUUAUUUUGACUUGUAUCAAAAGCAAGGAACAGGGUCUAAGACAUCGAUCCAAGCAUGCAGGUUGUUGGCUGGCAGCUCUUUGAAGAUGUGAAUGCUGACAGUUAAGGUGCUCAAUUUGGCAUCUUCUUGUUUGUUUUAAUUCAAAAUUUGAUGGGAGAAUAUUCUGUCAGCUAUGGAAGCAUUUCUGAGUUUCGGUCAUUCUGGUUGAUACGAUGCAUGGCAGCAAAUCAGUCUGUAAAUGCUGAAAAUGAGCUUAAUGUUUUGUUGUUAUUCCAACAGUUUUGUUGCUUCAGACUCAUGUUGUGAGUUUGUUUAUUAUAUUCUUGUGAUUCCUUGGUAUAAUCUCUUGAAUUUUUUUUU